rnacentral:rRNA from 1 species
UCACCUACGGGAGGCAGCAGUGAGGAAUAUUGGUCAAUGGGCGCGAGCCUGAACCAGCCAAGUCGCGGGAGGGAUGACGGCCCUACGGGUUGUAAACCUCUUUUGUCGGGGAGCAAAUUCCGUUACGUGUAACGGAGUCGAGAGUACCCGAAGAAAAAGCAUCGGCUAACUCCGUGCCAGCAGCCGCGGUAAUACGGAGGAUGCGAGCGUUAUCCGGAUUUAUUGGGUUUAAAGGGUGCGUAGGCGGGCUUUUAAGUCAGCGGUAAAAAUUCGGGGCUCAACCCCGUCCGGCCGUUGAAACUGGG